CAACAAGUGGGGUGGCCUAACUCAGUAUAGUCAAGCGACAAGUUUGGCGUUCCCUGAGUCAUGCGUCGUUCCGGUGAGUAACUGGUGGGGCAUCUACCUCUUAGUGGGGAAUAACUCUGGGAAAUCGGAGGUAAUACCUGAUGUGCCUGAAAAGGGAAAGCACUCAUGUGCUGAGAGAUGACCCCGCGGCCCAUUUUCUAGUUGGGGAAGUAAAGGCUCACCAAGGCUUAAAUCGGCAGCCGGCCUGAGAGGGGAGGCGGUUUGCUGGCACUGAAACACUGGCCUUCCUCCUACACUGACUCGCUGUGGGGAAUCUUGCAGCUGGGGGGCAACCCUGAUGCUCCCUCGCCGGGGGAGCGAUGAAUCCCUUCGGGGCGUAAAGAUCUUUCGGCCAAAACCAUAAUGACGGUACGGGAAGAAGAAGCUGCGAAUAACUACAUGCCAGCAGCCGCGGUAAUACUCCGGCAGCAAGCGUUGUUCGAAGUUACUGGGCAUAAAGAGUGCGUAGGCGGAUUCCUAAAAUCGGUGUGAGAUCUCCCGGAUUCACUGGGAUGCCGCCCCGAAGAUUGCUCAGCUACUCGAUGGGAAAGACCCUCGGAAUUCCUGGUACCUGUCCGAAAUGCCUCCCUUUCAGGAGGAACACCCUUUCUGUAGACUCACUUGCUAGACCUCUCCUGACGCUGAAGCACGAAAGCUCCAGUAGCAAACUGGAUUAGAUACCCCGGUAGUCCACGCCCUAGACGAUGCUUACUUGGUGUGGGCAGUUCUGUCUGUCCGUGCCGAAGACAACACUUAAAGUAUGCCGCCUGGGGAGUACGGUCGCAAGGCUGAAAUCAAAGGAUUUGACCGGGGCCCGCAAAUCUUGAAGAGCAUGUGCUUUAAUUGACACAACGCGAAAAAACCUAUAUCUGUAUCUCGCACUCUUCUCAAACCCCUGUGGUACCAACAGAUGAUCUCGCAAGGUCUUAAACUCGAGAUGCUGCAUGGCUGUCUAUCAGCUCGUGUUGUUGAUAUGUAGCGUCAGAUUACGCACGAACGCAACGCCUGUCACUGAUGUUGCUACGCUGCUUAUUCGAGCAGCUCUCUGAGAGAUCAGUCGGACGAUAAAGCUGCAGGUAAGGUGGGUGUUAUGAACGUCGAGUAUAUUCCAGGACGUGUAUCUGU
rnacentral:rRNA from 1 species